CCCCCCUCCCCUUUGCAUUUUGGGUUUCCUUUGAAAUUGUACCUAGACUUCAGAGGAAGCAUGGGGUCCUCAGGACCAGCUGCUCCUCAAACACACACAACAAAACCAUCCAGGCCCACAUGCUCUGCCAUGUAACCUGCACACCACAAAAAUUCAGAUGCCAUCUUCAGUCCUGCAAAAUAUUAAGCCAGGCAUUUAAGAUUCACCCAAUGAUUAAGCAUGAGCAGCUUGUAAUCGUUUCCAGAUUCCUCUCCUAGCAGGAGGAAAGGCUCCGCAAUUCCUGUCUGCGUGCUCAGUGUAGCAAUGUGCUCCCAAACAGACUGAAGAUGGGUUGAAGAGGACAAAACUGAUACCCCGAGCUUUGCAGCUGAGACCAAGCCAGCAUUACCUUUUAAUCCAACACGAUAACCUUGGAAAAGCAGGGUUAUUUAGCCAGCAUACAUCAGGGUACUUCCACAUCAUCUGUGUAGCAACACCUGUGCACCAGCAACUAGAAACCCCCUUACAUACACACUAAGACUGUCUGCAUUUUUUCAUCUGGCUUGGGAGCAUUAAAUGAAGAUCAACUGUUGGAAUCAGCCUCGCUUAGGGAAGCAGACUGUCUGUGCUCACAGACAGGACCUUUCUCCUCCAGGUUUUAUAGAAAGCCCAAGACUGCAGCCUUUCUGCAGAGGCCACAGUGUAACCCAGGGAGCAUCUGGAUCCUUCCCUUCAUGCCAAUUCAGCCAUAUAUUUUUCCCCCAGACUGCUUGGCCAUGAAAAAAAAAGAUCUUUGAAAACCUGCUCAGGGCUUCAAAACCCUCAGCAGCCCCAGCCUGAAAGCAAACUCAGGUCUCCCCACUGCCUUUGAACACAGUGGGGAUCUGCUCCAGCAGGUUAGCUCUCAGGGCCAUGUUGCUCCCUGCAGCUAAACCAGACGACGUGAAAUGGCAAGUACCUCUUAAUUUUUAUUAUUUUUAAACAGGAUAGUUUAAGAGCUAUGGAUUUUUUUUAUUAUUAUUAUUAUUACUAUUUUACUGGCAAAUUUAGUGUGCUGCCUUCCCUCCUUAAUGAAGGGAACCAAGAGCUGGUGCUCAGCUCCUGCUUUCUAGAAGCAGUCCCUGCAAACCUACUGUGAAUAACCAUGUCACCUCCCCAUUCUCCAUCUCCAGAGCAAGAAAGCAGCUUUCAUCAGCUCAGACCAUUUUUUCUUUUCUUGCCUCUUUACCUUCGCCUUUCCUCCAAGUUCCAUUUAUCUCCAAGCCCAUGUCUGAGACAAGGACCUACGGCUUGCACCAUCCCUUCAUGUGCAAAAAGAGAAGGGUACUGUUCCAGGAUGGAAACCUGGAUGCACUCCUCAAGGAGAUCAUCUCUGAUCAAGGGUGAGGGGUUCACCACCCUCAUUCAUCACCUCCUUAGCCUGUCAGUGUGGGGAGGUGGGAAAGGAACAACAGCACCAAUGGGCAGAGACUAUCCAUUGGACUCACGCAAUCAUCCAGUUUUACUGGGAUUUCUCCUCUACAGGCUGAGCUGUGUCUGCUCCCUCCAUGCACCAUCACCCACGGGAAAACCACACUGCAGGAACGAGGGCCAGGGUUUCAAAGUUGGGACAGAUUUGCCCCUCACCAUUAAUUUGCAGUCCCCCAUGGGCUGUUGCGGCAUGGAAGCCAUUAACAUUUAAAAAUACUUGCAGGAAUGGGAAGGGGGGAAAGAAUGGUAUUUGCAGAGGCCCAUUCCUCAGCACACUUUCAUGUGUGCCAAAGUUUGUUGGCAUGGCUCUGAGUUUGAUAGGGAACAUCUGGGCUGUUGCUGCCUGGAUCCUGACUGAGGGCAGCAAACAAAGGGGGUUUGUGCAGGAAUGCAUGAGGAGGGGGCAGCUCAGAGGCAAAACAAGAAGACUCAGGAGAAAGCCAAAUGCACACCCCAGCUUUUUCCAAGGAGAUACAAGCCUCCCCCUUCCAUAUUUUUCUCCCCAGAGUACGCUGCAGCUACAAUAGCAAGGCUCCAACGUGGCUCAGACUGCCACCUGGAGCCAGAUUUCCACUCCUUCCACCUCUGGGCCCCCCUCAAAGCCACGCCAGAGAAGGUAGUUGAGUAGGGCACUGGGACAAGCAUCCUUCUUACUUCCUCCUGCUUUGCCUCUGCAGUUCCCCCCCUUCCUGACCUGGGCAGCCUUUGGGAAAGAUCUGCUGUCAUCCUGGAUGAUUUCAGACCUUACAGUAGAGGUUCAUUAGCAUCUUUAGCAACUUUGGAGAUCCACAUGAAGCAAAGUCAUACCUGCAGGACCUCAAUGUUUGAGGCAGUGAAGGAUGCUGAAUUUCAAUGAUACCCACAGAAGGCGAGCUGGUCCCAUGCUGUUGCUGGCUCAGCACCCGUUUGCCUGGAUUUGUCCCUGGAACAACAAAGAAGAGCCCAGCGAGGGGUCAGCAUGGUUCAUUUGCCCUUUGGCCACAGCUUGCCAACAGGAUCCAGCUGAAUAGCUGCC
ensembl:lncRNA